ACGUGUGAGUUUCAGCCACACUUCCCAGCUGGUGAUGCCACAGGAAAGCCCCCUGCCUGGACCCCAGAAACCUUAGUGAGGCAACGAGAAAGGGGAGAUUGUCAUCAUGGCGAUGACGGGACAGGGACCAGUGUGGAUCCAUAACUUGAGGAAAAUGGCUCUUAAGAAGUUUUCUUCCACAGCAAGCCUGGGUCAUGUACUUCUCUUCUUAAUGGCUAGACUUUUGAUCAUGUAAUAUCAAAAUAGUAACAUAUCAUGAUAGGAUGACUUGGCCAUUCAGUGAUGG